UUUUUUUUUUUUUUUUUGAACAAAAACAAACCGAAAGGGUGGCUGGGAUUUGUAGUCCUCACUGGCUUCCUGGCCUACCCCUCUCCGGAAGAAAAUGGCUGCCUCAAGUGCUUGGACCACAUUUCCCGGAGUGCCCCGGGCUCCUGUUUUCCGCCCACUUUCUUCCGUACCCCGCUGCGCUCCAAGCACGGUGACCUUUGAAAGUUAACAGGGGUGCCAUGGGCUGAGUAAGAUAAACGGAACUGCUGUUCAACCCCGCCCAGUCUGGGGAUGAGUCAUUGUUUUCAAAUUUAUGAACAAAGCACACAAAUUAAGAAUAAUACAAGCAAGAAACAGCAGAGAGACACAAAAGGACAUAGAAUCCCUGAUCCUCACUGUGAUCUGGUAACACUAGUUCUAGGGCUGGAGAGAGAGAUGCUCAGGGCAAGUGCUCUUACAGAGAACAUGAGUUCAAUUCCCAGAACCCACAUGGUACCUCACAACUGCCUAUUUCAUACAUGUGGGGCAGAACACCGAUACACAUACUUUUUUUUUUAAGAAUUGAAAAAAAAAAAAAAUUGGUUCUGGACUCCAGUGGGUCUGAGUUUGAAACCGUAGCUGUUCUCCAGUUGUGUGGCCUUGAAUAAGUUAUGCAACUUCAUCAACCAAGCACUGUCAUUGGACAGCAGAGAAUAUGACAAAAGUCAACGGGCGAUCUGAACAAGUGGCACAUGCUUGCAUACUUGGAUGACACAGUUCGAGAAGCACUUGAACCCUGAAGUUUACAAACAGCCUCGAUAACACAGGAAGACCCCAUCUCAGAAGAAUAGAUGAGAUCACUAUUUCUCAGCUUCAGCAUUGCAGAUGAUCAGCUAAUGUGGAACUCUCCAGCCCCUUUGCACAUUGCAUUUCUUUGCAUGGCUUUUGGUUGGUAACUAUACAUUUGGCAUCUGUUUGGAUUUUUUUUCUGUAUACCCCAAAUGCCAGCCAUAGUCUUGGGCAUAUAGUAGGCAGUCAAACUGUUGGUGUAUGAACCAUUCUCAGUAAUUCUUUUGUUGUAGACAGUCUCUGAGGAAUUAUCCCCUAUUGAAUGGUCUCAUAACAGUUUUGGAAAGCGCUCAUGUAGGGAAAAAACUAAGAUAAGAUUUUACCCAGGAAGGUCUCCACAAGUGCAAAGUAGAGACUUCAGGACAUUCCCAGUCUCGUUGUGUUGCCAAAUCUACCCUCACAAUGCAUGACUUAACUCAUAAAUCCUGGGCCAGUCACAGUUUUUUAAAUUCUACUCUUUAGUCUCCCAUGCUCUGGAGAAGGUAUUUAAAUUGCCAAAAUGUUUAACAAUAGUUCUCUAGGUUUUAUAAGACUAGUUAGUUUACUGGUAAUUUUUCUGUACAAAAAAAUUGCAUUGGGCUGGUGAGAUGGCUCAGUGGGUAAGAGCACCCAACUGCUCUUCUGAAGGUCUGAAGUUCAAAUCCCAGCAACCACAUGGUGGCUCACAACCAUCCAUAAUGAGAUCUAACUCCCUCUUCUGGAGUGUCUGAAGACAACUACAGUGUACUUACAUAUAAUAAAAAUAAAUAAAUCUUUAAAAAAAAUACUUGCUAAAAAAUUGCAUUAUUUUAACUUUAAAAGUUUUUACUUCAAAAACAAUAAAACAUUUAAAGUGGCAGUUAUAAUAGUGAUAUAGUAAAUAUAUUUUUUCUGUCACAUCUUCCAAAUCUAGAAUGUGUGCUCCAUUAUGAUGUAAAAGUAAAGUUUCAUUAAUAUCAGCCAAUAGUGGAAGAACAUCUUUAAUAAUAGAUUCAUCUUCCCACUUUGGUGGACCUGUAGAGUGGCCUCAAAGGGAGACUUAAGCUGGUUUUUAUCAAAAUUUUGGGACAUGACAUUUCCUGACAGAAUAAAGUUUUCUGGUAGAAAUUUCC
rnacentral:lncRNA from 1 species